rnacentral:rRNA from 1 species
CACGGGGGGAGCAAGCGUUGUCCGGAAUUAUUGGGCGUAAAGAGCUCGUAGGCGGUUUGUCGCGUCUGCUGUGAAAACCUAAGGCUCAACCUUGGGCUUGCAGUGGGUACGGGCAGACUAGAGUGCGGUAGGGGUGACUGGAAUUCCUGGUGUAGCGGUGGAAUGCGCAGAUAUCAGGAGGAACACCGAUGGCGAAGGCAGGUCACUGGGCCGCAACUGACGCUGAGGAGCGAAAGCAUGGGGAGCGAACAGG